rnacentral:piRNA from 1 species
UGGCAAAUUGAGGGAGAAUUCUAAAGGUC